UUUCCGUAGGUGAACCUGCGGAGGAUCAUUAAUAAAUGGCUCCGCGUAGGAGCACUUAAUAAUCCUACCCUUUGUGAUUUGUUGUUUGAAAUAAUUUUUUUUAAAAUUAUUGAAUGUCUUUCCCUGUUGAAUUAGAGUGUUUCGGACACAAGAUUCGCAGGGAUAGUCAAUAAUUUUUAAAAAGACCUUUUUUAAAUUAAACUUUUGUAUUCAUUUGUCUAAAAUUAUUUUAUAAUAUAAAAACAACUUUUGACAAUGGAUCUCUUGGUUCUCGCAACGAUGAAGAACGCAGCAAAAUGCGAUAAGUAGUGUGAAUUGCAGAAUACGUGAAUCAUCGAAUCUUCGAACGCAUAUUGCACUUUUAGUUUACUAAAAAGUAUGUCUGUUGAGUAUCAGUAAAAUAUUCUCAUAAAACAUGUUUUAUGGUUAUGAGUGUUUUACAACGAUACAAGUUGUUUCACUUUAAAUUUUCUAAAAUUUGAAUUUUUCUAAUUUAAAUAAAAUUGGAUAAAAUUUUCCCGUAAAAGGAAUAACCUAAACAAUUUAAUUUAAAUUAGAAACCUUCAAAAAAAAAAGGAAAUUUAAUAAAUAACUUGAUCUCAAAUCAGAUAAAGUACCGCUGAACUUAAGCAUAUCAAUAAGCGGAGGAAAAGAAACUAACAAGGAUCUCUUAGUAACGGCGAGUGAAGCGGGAAGAGCUCAAAUUUGAAAUCUUCAAGGUUUUACCUUGACGAAUCGUAGUUUAAAGAAGUGUUUCUGUUGAAGUUUUGGUAAAAGUUCUUUGGAAUGGACAUCAUAGAGGGUGAGAAUCCCGUAUUUGACCAUUAUUUCAGCUGUGUGAUACACUUUCAAAGAGUCGGAUUGUUUGGGAAUGCAGUCCAAAUGGGUGGUAAAUUUCAUCUAAAGCUAAAUAUUGGCGAGAGACCGAUAGCGAACAAGUACCGUGAGGGAAAGAUGAAAAGAACUUUGAAAAGAGAGUUAAACAGUACGUGAAAUUGUCAAAAGGGAAGCGUUGACACCAGUGUUGUUUUCUCGAAAAUCAAUUAAAAAGAGUUGGAUUUUGUGUUGUAUUGACCUUAACAGCUUUCUUCACUCUUUUCCUGCUUUUUUAAUGCACUUUUCGUUAACAAGUCAACAUCAGUUUCUUUUGUUGUAAAAGGGUCAUUGGAAGGUGGCUUUCUUUCGGAGAUAGUGUUUAUAGCCUUUGAUCUCUGCGAUCGGAGAGACUGAGGUCUGCAGCGUAGAUCCUUCGGGUUAGAUACAUUUGUGCUAAGUUAUAACUUUUCAUAGACAACUUGUUGACUAUGUUUAGUCAUGUAGCUUACUCGCUUAUGCUAUU
rnacentral:misc_RNA from 1 species